UAAAACAGGUUCAAUUCUGCGCACGCGCUGAUUUUGGCACAUGUGCAGAACGGAUCGUGCUUCCGGGUACGGAUCGGGCACAGAUAGAGCGCAGAGAGGCGGAGAAACGAGGUCGGAAAACAGCGUUAAGCCAAGUUUGUACCGUUGCUUUUGUUUGCUAGUACUAUGAGAUGAAUGCUAAAACGAACUCUGGAGCUGCUUUUUUGUCGAAUACGAGUGAGACUGGACGCUGUACACACAUGCUGCAGGAAGGUGUGACCACUUCAUCCAUGACAUCAUCCCUGAUCGCUGACACAUCGGCCACGAUUGCAGAGAAAUUGUCCAUGACUUGCAGAGACGGAGCUCCCUAAUUUGAUGGCAUCGUCUGAGAUCAGAGAGACAUUGUCCGCAAUCGCAGAGACGCAGUCAACAAUUGCACAGAGUCUUCACACAGUGAAGAAGUUCUUUGAGACCAGGAGUGAGACCUCCAGAGAGACAUUGUUGAUGGUCACAGAGACAUAGCAGCGCAGAGUCGUUGUACAAUCAAGAAGUUCUUCGAGACCAGGACUGAGGCCUCCAGGUCUUCAGCUGCUGUCAUCUUCUCCUCCUGCAGAGACAAGAACACGUGUUGAUCACAGAGAGAGAGAGAUUAGGGUUAGGGCUUUUAGCCAGGGAUGACUGUUUUUAGCCUCAAUUGUAACACCUAAACAAUACUUGGCAUUUCUGCAUUACAAAAUAAUUUUUGGUGGCAUGGUGAUAAAGUGGUUAGCACUGUUAGCUCACAGCAACAGGCCUUACUAUACAAUGACAUGUUUUGACAGUUUGGGACUCCCUACUAUCCUAUUCCCUAUUUUAUAAAAGUUUUUAACACCAAAUUAUACUAUGACAUUUUUUGAGACCGUACUAUACUAUAGCAUUUUCUGACCUUUUUUUUUGGCUCUUUACUAUACUAUGACAUUUUUUGACCAUUUUUCAUGCCUUACAUUUUUUGACCAUUUUUCGUGUUUUAUUACACUAUGACAUUUUUGGUGGUUUUUCGAGCCUUAGUAUACUAUGACAUUUUUUGGGUGGUUUCUGACUCCUCACUAUGACAUUUUUGAACAUUUUUCAUGCUUUACAUUUUUUGUCCAUUUUCAUGCCUUACUAAACAGUGCUGUGUUGAACAGUUGAUGUAAAGCUGUUUGUGAAUUACCUGGAGGCCUCUGUUUUGGUCUGAAAGAACUUCUUCACUGUACGAAGACUCUCUGUGGUCGUCGACAAUGUCCCUGAUCGCGGGCAAUGCCGUCAAAUCAGUGACCCUCGUCUCCGCCGAUUCUAUCGCAAGGUCUCUACGAAGCAUGGACAAUGUCUCUGAUCACGGACAACGUCUCUCUCAUCUUUGACAAGGUCUCUGAUCGUGGACGAUGUCUCCCUCAUCCUCAACAAUGUCUCUCCGAUCAUGGACCAUGUCUCUGCGAUUGUGGACGAUGUCCUGGACAAAGUGGUGACACCUGGAGGAGAUUAAAGAGAAAAAUAUGAAGGAAAAUGAUCAAUACACUACUACCUAUUCCUCAUCAACAGUUUAACCAUGAAAACACAGAUAAAUAUUCAACAUUACAGCUGAGGCAGAGCAUUUAACAUUAGAGGGCUGUUUCAGAAAAUGAACAGUUGACUGCCGUCACCUCUUGAAAAACCAACAACAAAUACUUGGGAAAAAGUAAAAUAAUUAUUGUGUGUCUAUCAACUAAUCACUGAAGCAAUGAUUUAUGUUACUGUGAACUGCACAACAAUAAUAAACAAAAUCUUUGAAUGCAGGAUUUUAACUUGUAUUGUUUAUUAUACUUCAGUAAAGUCUGACUAUU